rnacentral:rRNA from 1 species
UACGUAGGGUGCAAGCGUUAAUCGGAAUCACUGGGCGUAAAGCGUGCGCAGGCGGUUUUGUAAGUCUGACGUGAAAUCCCCGGGCUCAACCUGGGAAUUGCGUUGGAGACUGCAAGGCUGGAGUCUGGCAGAGGGAGGUAGAAUUCCACGUGUAGCAGUGAAAUGCGUAGAGAUGUGGAGGAACACCGAUGGCGAAGGCAGCCCCCUGGGUCAAGACUGACGCUCAUGCACGAAAGCGUGGGGAGCAAACAGG